UAGCAAUACGAGGGAAAGUCUAGUGGCGAACGGGUGCUUAACACGUGGGCAACCUGCCGGGAAGUGGGGGAUAGCUCGCCGAAAGGCGAAUUAAUACCGCAUGUGAUCAGAGUGGACAUCCAUUCAAAAUUAAAGUCGGGGCAACCUGACGCUUCUUGAGGGGCCCGCGGCCUAUCAGCUAGUUGGUGAGGUAACGGCCCACCAAGGCUUUGACGGGUAGCUGGUCUGAGAGGACGACCAGCCACACUGGGACUGAGACACGGCCCAGACACCUACGGGUGGCAGCAGUUGAGAAUUUUUCUCAAUGGGGGAAACCCUGAAGGAGCGACGCCGCGUGGAGGAUGAAGGUCUUCGGAUUGUAAACUCCUGUCAUUGGGGAACAAUGCGUAAAUAUUAACUGUAUUUGCGUUGAUAGUACCCGAAGAGGAAGAGACGGCUAACUCUGUGCCAGCAGCCGCGGUAAUACAGAGGUCUCAAGCGUUGUUCGGAUUCAUUGGGCGUAAAGGGUGCGUAGGCGGCGCGGUAAGUCGGGUGUGAAAUCUCGGAGCUUAACUCCGAAACUGCAUUCGAUACUGCCGUGCUUGAGGACUGGAGAGGAGACUGGAAUUCUCGGUGUAGCA
rnacentral:rRNA from 1 species